UCCAUUUCGGAAACUAUCCCAAUUAAUCCCUUUUCUGAAAUCCCCAAUAUCCCGCCAUCUGGGGUUUUAAGCAAAACCCUAAAUCCCCAAAGCAUCACUCAUCCUCACUUCCACCAUUUGAAUCCACUCAACUGCAGGCAGAUAUGAGUUUCGCGGCGUUCAAGAUGAUGCAUUGGGCAACCGGCAUCGAGCACUGCGCCUCGGGUUUCAUCACCCAUUCCUCCGCAGAUUCCACGCCCAAAAUCCCUCCGAUCACCGCCCACGACAUCGACUCGGACUGGACCACCUCCACCAAGCCGAUUGGACCGCUUCCCAACCUCAUUACUGCUGCCGCCAACGUUCUUGAAGUUUACAUUGUAAGAAUUCAGGAAGAGGCUUCUCCGUCCUUACCUCACAAAGCUGCUGCCGAGCCGUCUUAGCUGGCGUUUCCGGUGCCUCACUUGAGCUCCUUUGCCAUUAUAGGCUGCAUGGCAAUGUGGAGUCAUUGGAGGUGUUACCAAAUGGAGCUACUGAUGGUGGAAGGAGGAGAGACUCUAACUCUUUUAUAUUGACUUUUCGAGAUGCAAAAAUCUCAGUUUUGGAGUUUGAUGAAUCAAUAUGUGGGCUACGAAGCAGGUGAAGUUCGUGAAAAUUGAUGAAUUGUGUUGAUCUCGUGUGCUCGAUUUUGAUAUGAAAAUGAGGUUUGAUUUCGUGACAACUCAUGAUUGCUGCUGGACUAUAGAUCUGCUGUAUCUGGAGCUUCUGCUAAAGCAUCAAUGGCAACUAGACGUGUGAGCAAGGCUAGCAGCAAAAUCCAAUGCGGAUGCAGCUUCUCCCCUGCAAUGCUCUCGCCUCUCAGCUGAUCGCUCCCCCGAGAUGUGUUCCGUUUGAUGUAUCUAUCUAGAUUGUGAAUGAGAAAAACGAGUAUUUGUUUGAUCAGAAUUCUUUGUUAAUUCGCAGAAUAAGGCGACUCGUGUUUCCAAACCUGCUGAAGUUCAGCCUGAAUUGAUUCUAGCCAAGGAAGAGCUUAAGAAGGCUGUGGAGAAGCUAGUUUUGGCUGAGAGUGAAAAGGAGAAAGCUCUUGAUGAAUUGAAAGAAACCCAGAGAUUGGCUGAGGAAGCGAACGAGCUGUGCGGCACCGAUACGGAUACGUGUAUCCGUAUCCUUCACGCGGGUUCUAAAUUAGGAAAUAAUUAAAAGGGAGAGAACGAUGUCAUACUGCUGAAAUUGAAAGCUCUAACAGGGGAAGGGAGAGAACGAUGUCAAGAACCUUGCUGCAGUCGCGCGGGCGUGGGUCAUCGUCGUCGUCGCAGUGGCGGCGCAGGCGCGAGUCGGGCAUGGGGACGAGCUGGGGUAGGGCAACACAUUAGCCGCUGCUUAUAUACUCCUUUCAACAGGGCUCCUUUAGAUGGGCUUUAAACUGGGCCGUAUCCACCGAAGAUACGUAUCGAAUCUGAGGUUUCCCGGCCCAAUACGGCCCACCUCGCGGAUACGCCCAGGAUACGUAUCGUCGGUGUAUCCGUCGCGUAUCAGUAUCGGAUACGCGAUACGGCAACAGGGUGAUGUAUCGGUGCCGCAUAGCGAACGAGAAGCUCCGGGAUGCCUUGAUUGCACAGAAACGAGCAGAUGUCAAGAUUAAUAAUAGUAUGUACACUAACAAAAUUAAUAAUAGUAAACAAGUCAUUGACAAUA